rnacentral:rRNA from 1 species
CAGCAGCCGCGGUAAUACCGGCGGCCCGAGUGGCGGUCACUAUUAUUGGGCUUAAAGCGUCCGUAGCCGGGUUGGGAAGUCCUCCGGGAAAUCUGGCCGCUUAACGGUCAGAAUGCCGGAGGAUACUCCCAGCCUAGGGAGCGGGCGAGGCCGAGGGGAUUCCCGGGGUAGGGGUGAAAUCCUAUAAUCCCGGGAGGACCACCUGUGGCGAAGGCGCUCGGCUGGAACGCGUCCGACGGUGAGGGACGAAGGCCAGGGGAGCAAACCGGAUUAGAUACCCGGGUAGUCCUGGCUGUAAACGAUGCGGACUUUGUGUCGGACAAGCUAUGAGCUUGUCCGGUGCCGGAGGGAAACCGUUAAGUCCGCCGCCUGGGGAGUACGGCCGCAAGGCUGAAACUUAAAGGAAUUGGCGGG